ACUUAAAAAGAUACGUAUAAAGCUUAGAUGAUUAAAAUGUUAUGAUUCUUGACAAACAUAAAACUGAACCUGAACAUAAAGAUACAACACAUGCUUAAAUGGGAAGAACAGUUUUCAUGAAGAUGUCAAUACUCCCUAACCUAAUUAAUAAAUUUAAUGUAAUCUUCCCUCCAGCACCCUCACCCCCCCAAAAAAUCCUGAAAAAUGUUGACCUAGAUAAGAUGAUUCUAAAGCUUAUAUGGAAAAAUGAACAGGAGUACCGGGAAAACAACAACAACAAAGUAGCAAUGAGGGGAGAGAAGCCCUACUCAGUAUUAAAACAUGCUCUAAAUUUUCAAAAAGGAGUGUGAAAUAGGCACAUGUAUAGACAGAGAUCAAUGGAACAGGAUAAAAAAUGUGCCAAAUGAGACAUAAAUAAUACAGGAAUUUAGUAUACAAUAAAGGUGGCAACACAAAUCUCUGGAAUAAAGAUCAUUAAUUUUUUUCCAGUGUUGGACAACAAUCCUCUAGAAAAAAAUGAGCAAAGGAAAAGAAUAAACAGGUGGAAAACAGAAGAAAUUACAAAUGGCCCUUAAACAUAUGACAAUAGCCUCAACUCCAUUCAUGUUAUGGGUUGAACUGUUUCCCUCCAAAAUUCAUAUGGUGGAAUCCUAACUUGCAGGACUUCAGAAUGUGACCUUAUUUGGAAAUAGAGUCUUUACAGAGGGAAUGAAGUUAAAAUGACGCCAUUAGGGUACACCCUAAUCCAACAUGACUGGUGUCCUUGUUGAAUGAAGAAAUCUGCACACAGACAUACAGAGAGAGAAGACAAGGUAAAGGGAGCCAGAGAGAAAAUGGCCACCUACAAGUCAAGAAGAAGGCCUGGGACAGGUCCUCCCUCACUGCCCUCAAAAGGAACCAACCCUAAUGACACCCGGAUCUUGGACUUCAAGUUACCAGAACCGGCUUGAACUCAUGACCCUGAGAUCAAGACCUGAGCUGAGUAGAUCAAGAGUUGGAUGUUUAACCAACUGAGCCACCCAGGUGCUCCACUGGAUAAAUUAUUUCUAUCUCAUUAAAAACAAUGAGAGACAGCGAGAGAGGGAACACAAGCAGGGGGAGCAGCAGAGGGAGAAGCAGGCUUUCUGCCAAGCAGAGAGCCCGAUGCGGGGCUAGAUCCCAGGACCCUGGGAUCAUGACCUGAGCUGAACGCAGAUGCUUAAGGACUGAGCCACCCAGGUGCCCCCCACAUCUCAGUUCAGACUAGCAACAUUUUAAGUGCUGAAUGGACACAUGUGGCAAGUGGCCACCAUCCUGGACAGAUCAGCUCCAGAUGGAUACAGAUGAUGACAGGACCUCAGAGGAUGAAGUAGCCCCCAGGUAGAUGGAGGCUGGUCCCUGAGUCAUGAUGGACAGGGAAGCUACUCACUGACAGAAUACUCACUUAGAUCUGUAUUCAGAAGCCCCUGAAAAGUGCUGAAAAGAGUAAUGCGGCAAGCCCGAGAUCGGAUCCUUCGAAAGGCCUGCUUGCAAGGAUGGCCCCUGGCUGGCGUCUGGGCACUUGGGUUUCAGCAGUGUUCCCACCAUCCCUGGAAACAACGUUCCAGGGAUUCUCACAUCCCUUCAUGCUCCGAGCUUUCUAAGCAAAGACUGCUGGCACCUGGGUUAAAGAAAGUUUCUAAGGCAGAUGAGCCUCGUAAGUGGCAAAAGAGCUCGGCGUGCUGCCUGUAA